rnacentral:miRNA from 1 species
AUGUGUUAUAUAUGCAUAUAUAUAAGCAUGUGUCUAUAUGUUUAUAUAUACACACACACACACACACGUGUGUGAAGUA